UCCCAUUUUCCCACAUUUCCUGUUUUCCCUGAUCCCACAAAUCCCAAUUUCCCAUUUUUCCCAAAUCCCAAAUUUCCCAUUUCCUUGUUCCCUGAUCCCAGCAAUCCCAAAUUUCCCAAUUUUUCCCAAAUCCCAUUUAUCCCAAAUUUCCCAAAUUUCCCAUUUAUCCCAAAUCCCAUUUAUCCCAAUUUCCCCAAAUUUCCCAUUUCCUUUUUCCCAGAUCCCAGCAAUCCCAAAUUUCCCUUUUUUUCCCAAAUUUCCCAUUUUUCCCAAAUCCCAAAAUUCCCAUUUCCUUUUUCGCUGAUCCCAUUUAUCCCAAAUUUCCCAAUUUUUCCACAUUUCCCAAAUCCCAAUUCUCCCAAUUUUCCAUUUUUCCUAAAUCCCAAAUUUCCCAUUUCCUUUUUCCCCAAAUCCCAUUUAUCCCAAAUUUCCGCAUUUUUCCCACAUUUCCCAUUUGCCCAAAUCCCAUUUACCCCAAUUUCCCAUUUAUCCCAAAUUUCCCAUUUUUCCAAAUCCCAUUUUUCCCACAUUUUUCCCACAUUUAUCCCAAAUUCCGCAAAUUUCCCAUUUCCUUUUUCGCUGAUUCCCAGCAAUCCCAAAUUUCCAAAAUGUUCCCACUUUUUCCCAUUUUUCCCACAUUUCCCAUUUUUCCCAAAUUACCCAUUUAUCCCAAAUUUCCCAUUUAUCCCAAAUUUCCCAUUUCCUUUUUUGCUGAUUCCCAGCAAUCCCAAAUUUCCCCAUUUUUCCCACAUUUCCCAAUUUUCCCCAAAUCCCAUUUAUCCCAAAUUUCCCAUCUUUCCCACAUUUUCCCAAAUCCCAUUUAUCCCAAAUUUCCCAUUUUUCCCAAUUUCCAAUUUCCUUUUUCCCUGAUCCCAGCAAUCCCAAAUUUCCCAAUUUUUCCCAAAUCCCAUUUACCCCCCUUUAUCCCAAAUUUCCCAUUUUCCCAAAUCCCAAAUUUCCCAAUUUUUCCCAAAUCCCAUUUAUCCCAAAACCCAAAUUUCCCAUUUCCUUUUUCCCUGAUCCCAGCAAUCCCAAAUUUCCCAAUUUUUCCCAAAUCCCAUUUAUCCCAAAUUUCCAAAUUUUCCAAAUCCCAUUUAUCCCAAAUUUUCCCACUUUUUCCCAUUUUCCCAAAUCCCAUUUAUCCCAAAUUUCCCAUUUUCCCAAAUCCCAUUUUUCCCACAUUUCCCAAAUCCCAUUUAUCCCAAAUUUCCCAUUUUUCCCCCAUUUAUCCCAAAUUUCCCAAAUUUCCCAUUUUUCCCAAAUCCCAAAUUUCCUAUUUCCUUUUUCGCUGAUCCCAGCAAUCCCAAAUUUCCAAAAUUUUCCCACUUUUCCCCAUUUUCCCAAAUCCCAUUUUCCCCACAUUUCCCAUUUUCCCCAAAUCCCAUUUAUCCCAGUUUCCCAAUUUAUCCCAAAUUUCCCAUCUUUCCCCACAUUUAUCCCAAAUUUCCCAUUUUCCCCAAAUCCCAUUUAUCCCAAAUUUCCCAUCUUUCCCACAUUUAUCCCAAAUUUCCCAUUUUUCCCACAUUUAUCCCAAUUUUCCCCACAUUUCCCAAAUCCCAUUUAUCCCAGAUUUCCAAUUUUUCCCAAAUCCCAAAAUUCCCAUCUCCUUUUUCCCUAAAUCCCAGGAAUCCCAAAUUUCCCAAUUUUUCCCAAAUCCCAUUUAUCCCAAAUUCCCCAAAUUUCCCAUUUCCUUUUUCCCAGAUCCCAGCAAUCCCAAAUUUCCCUUUUUUUCCCAAAUUUCCCAUUUUCCCAAAUCCCAAAUUUCCCAUUUCCUUUUUCGCUGAUCCCAUUUAUCCCAAAUUUCCCAAUUUUCCCACAUUUCCCAAAUCCCAUUUAUCCCAAAUUCCCCAAAUUUCCCAUUUUUCCCAAAUCCCAAAUUUCCCAUUUCCUUUUUCGCUGAUCCCAGCAAUCCCAAAUUUCCAAAAUUUUCCCACUUUU
ensembl:lncRNA